AGCAGCCGCGGUAAUUCCAGCUCCAAUAGCGUAUAUUAAAGUUGUUGCAGUUAAAAAGCUCGUAGUUGAAUUUCGGGAUCAAAGAAUCGGUCAUGCCUUGGUAUGUACUGGUUUUAUUGGUUCUCACCUUCUAAAGAACCAUGAUGUCAUUCAUUUGAUGUUAUGGGGAAUUAGGACUGUUACCUUGAAAAAAUUAGAGUGUUUAAAGCAAGCUUACGCUUGAAUACAUUAGCAUGGAAUAAUGAAAUAGGACAUCAGAUUCUAUUUUGUUGGUUUCUAGGAUCGAUGUAAUGAUUAAUAGGGAUAGUUGGGGGCAUUAGUAUUCAAUUGUCAGAGGUGAAAUUCUUGGAUUUAUUGAAGACUAACUACUGCGAAAGCAUUUGCCAAGGAUGUUUUCAUUAAUCAAGAACGAAAGUUAGGGGAUCGAAGACGAUCAGAUACCGUCGUAGUCUUAACCAUAAACUAUGCCGACUAGGGAUCGGAUGAUGUUAAUUUUUUAAUGACUCAUUCGGCACCUUAU
rnacentral:misc_RNA from 1 species